rnacentral:rRNA from 1 species
AGUGAACGUUGGCGGUAGGCCUAACACAUGCAAGUCGAACGGCAGCACAGUAAGAGCUUGCUCUUACGGGUGGCGAGUGGCGGACGGGUGAGGAAUACAUCGGAAUCUACUUUUUCGUGGGGGAUAACGUAGGGAAACUUACGCUAAUACCGCAUACGACCUACGGGUGAAAGCAGGGGAUCUUCGGACCUUGCGCGAUUGAAUGAGCCGAUGUCGGAUUAGCUAGUUGGCGGGGUAAAGGCCCACCAAAGCGACGAUCCGUAGCUGGUCUGAGAGGAUGAUCAGCCACACUGGAACUGAGACACGGUCCAGACUCCUACGGGAGGCAGCAGUGGGGAAUAUUGGACAAUGGGCGCAAGCCUGAUCCAGCCAUACCGCGUGGGUGAAGAAGGCCUUCGGGUUGUAAAGCCCUUUUGUUGGGAAAGAAAAGCAGCAGGUUAAUACCCCGCUGUUCUGACGGUACCCAAAGAAUAAGCACCGGCUAACUUCGUG